AACGAACGCUGGCGGCAGGCUUAACACAUGCAAGUCGAACGGAGUGGCGCACGGGUGAGUAACGCGUGGAUAUCUGCCUUUUGGUUCGGAAUAACCCCGGGAAACUGGGGCUAAUACCGGAUGCCAAAAGAUGAGUCCGCGUACGAUUAGCUAGUUGGUGAGGUAAUGGCUCACCAAGGCGACGAUCGUUAGCUGGUCUGAGAGGACGAUCAGCCACACUGGGACUGAGACACGGCCCAGACUCUUACGGGAGGCAGCAGUGGGGAAUAUUGGACAAUGGGGGCAACCCUGAUCCAGCCAUGCCGCGUGAGUGAUGAAGGCCUUCGGGUUGUAAAGCUCUUUUGGCGGGGACGCGGUACCCGCAGAAUAAGCCCCGGCUAACUUCGUGCCAGCCGCCGCGGUAAUUC
rnacentral:rRNA from 1 species